rnacentral:rRNA from 1 species
UCGGGAAUUUUGGGCAAUGGGCGAAAGCCUGACCCAGCAACGCCGCGUGAAGGAUGAAAUCCCUCGGGAUGUAAACUUCGCAAGAACGGGAAGAAUAAGUAAGAGUUAAUAUCUCUUACGAUGACGGUACUGUUUGUAAGCUCCGGCUAACUCCGUGCCAGCAGCCGCGGUAAUACGGGGGGAGCAAGCGUUGUUCGGAUUUACUGGGCGUAAAGGGCGCGUAGGCGGCCACCGCAAGUCGACUGUGAAAUCUCCGGGCUUAACCCGGAAAGGUCAGCCGAUACUGCGGGGCUAGAGUGCAGAAGGGGCAACUGGAAUUCUCGGUGUAGCGGUGAAAUGCGUAGAUAUCGAGAGGAACACCUGCGGCGAAGGCGGGUUGCUGGGCUGACACUGACGCUGAGGCGCGAAAGCGUAGGGGAGCGAACGGGAUUAGAGUACCCCGGUAGUCCUAGCCUUAAACGAUGAAUGCUUGGUGUCGUGGGGUUUAUAGGUCCCCGGUGCCGUCGCUAACGCUUUAA